rnacentral:rRNA from 1 species
GAUGAACGCUGGCGGCGUGCCUAAUACAUGCAAGUCGAGCGAACAGACGAGGAGCUUGCUCCUCUGACGUUAGCGGCGGACGGGUGAGUAACACGUGGAUAACCUACCUAUAAGACUGGGAUAACUUCGGGAAACCGGAGCUAAUACCGGAUAAUAUAUUGAACCGCAUGGUUCAAUAGUGAAAGACGGUUUUGCUGUCACUUAUAGAUGGAUCCGCGCCGCAUUAGCUAGUUGGUAAGGUAACGGCUUACCAAGGCGACGAUGCGUAGCCGACCGGAGAGGGGGAGCGGCCACACUGGAACGGAGACACGGUCCAGACUCCUACGGGAGGCAGCAGUAGGGAAUCUUCCGCAAUGGGCGAAAGCCUGACGGAGCAACGCCGCGUGAGUGAUGAAGGUCUUCGGAUCGUAAAACUCUGUUAUUAGGGAAGAACAAAUGUGUAAGUAACUAUGCACGUCUUGACGGUACCUAAUCAGAAAGCCACGGCUAACUACGUG